rnacentral:lncRNA from 1 species
GGAUAAGCAGGCUGGAAGAGCCGACUCCUACGGCUGCGAUCCAAGAGGUGCCUGCAACAGUUGCCCCCCGACUUCUGUCGCCCCCAUGGAGGCAAACAAGUCUGGAACAGGGAAUGGGGGUCUGGGAGAGAAGAUGAAAAGACUGAGGAUCAGAGAGGUGAGCAGUAGCUUUCCCAAAGGCCCAGAGCCAAGAAGCGUUGAAGCUUAAAAGCACGCCGCGGCAGGGAAGAUCAAGCAAGCCCUGCGCCUAUCUGCAGCUUGAUCUCUCUGUACUGAGCCAUGGAGCUCCUUCUUGGAGGCGUGAAAUGCUCCCCAUCCUUCAGGAGACAACAGCAACAGCCAGCCACUCCUUGUCCAGUCAGCAAUGCUGGAAUACCUCUGCAGCUCACAGUCCAACGCCCACAGCCUUCGAGUCAGUUUCUUGAUAUUCGGCAAUGCACUGGACUCCUGAUCCCAUCAGCUCCUGGCUGAAGGUGGGCCAACCCUUCCCCAUUUCCUUCAAUUCAAACAUUUCCUCAUGUCCCUCAGUGCCAAGCCCUGUGCUGGGAGCUGAGGACCCAGAGGUGAGCUAGAUCUAAAAUCUGACCUCAAGGAGCUAACAGUCUGAGAGGAAGACUGGAGUGGAUAAAAAUACCUUGGUAAUUUAUCACUUAAUAAAUAUCCAAUAAAUGCUAUUAUGUGCCAAAAAAAAAAAAAAAAAA